UAUUAUCAUUGUUUCCAUUGUUCACUUCUUCAUUUUCAAUUCUUAUUUUUUCCUCCAUUAUAUAAAUAUUCUCCAAGGCAAAAGGAGGAGAAGGGUGAUACAGUUCAAUGACAGUGGAGGAAUAGAGAGGCGGUGUUCGGGGACGUUUUUCAAUCCGUUUCUUUGUCGAUAAGCAACCGUUUGUAUGGUGUUCGUGAUUUGAUGAAAAAUUACAAGAUAAACUAA
rnacentral:ribozyme from 14 species